rnacentral:rRNA from 1 species
UACGGAAGGGAGCUAGCGUUGUUCGGAAUCACUGGGCGUAAAGCGCACGUAGGCGGACGUGUCAGUCAGGGGUGAAAUCCCGGAGCUCAACUUCGGAACUGCCUUUGAUACAGCACGUCUUGAGUCCGGAAGAGGUGGGUGGAAUUCCUAGUGUAGAGGUGAAAUUCGUAGAUAUUAGGAAGAACACCGGUGGCGAAGGCGGCCCACUGGUCCGGUACUGACGCUGAGGUGCGAAAGCGUGGGGAGCAAACAGG